UACGUAGGUGGCAAGCGUUGUCCGGAUUUACUGGGCGUAAAGAGCGCGCAGGCGGCUGGUCAAGUCCGAUGUGAAAUCUCCCGGCUUAACUGGGAAACUGCAUCGGAAACUGAUCGGCUUGAAGGUGGGAGAGGGUAGUGGAAUUCCCGGUGUAGUGGUGAGAUGCGUAGAUAUCGGGAGGAAUACCAGUGGCGAAGGCGGCCUUCUGGACGGAUACUGACGCUGAGGCGCGAAAGCCAGGGGAGCAAACGGG
rnacentral:rRNA from 1 species